rnacentral:rRNA from 1 species
GUGGGGAAUAUUGGACAAUGGGCGAAAGCCUGAUCCAGCCAUGCCGCGUGUGUGAAGAAGGUCUUCGGAUUGUAAAGCACUUUAAGUUGGGAGGAAGGGCAGUAAGUUAAUACCUUGCUGUUUUGACGUUACCAACAGAAUAAGCACCGGCUAACUUCGUGCCAGCAGCCGCGGUAAUACGAAGGGUGCAAGCGUUAAUCGGAAUUACUGGGCGUAAAGCGCGCGUAGGUGGUUCAGCAAGUUGAAGGUGAAAUCCCCGGGCUCAACCUGGGAACUGCCUCCAAAACUACUGAGCUAGAGUACGGUAGAGGGUAGUGGAAUUUCCUGUGUAGCGGUGAAAUGCGUAGAUAUAGGAAGGAACACCAGUGGCGAAGGCGACUACCUGGACUGAUACUGACACUGAGGUGCGAAAGCGUGGGGAGCAAACAGGAUUAGAUACCUCGGUAGUCC